GGAUGUGAGGGUGAUCUAGCUGUGACCUCUGUCACGCCACUGAUUGCUAGGGUUAAUUUGGCUGAUCUGGCUGGCGAGAUGGGUGUCCUCUUCCUCCCCCAUCAUUCCAUGUGUGUCCCUCCAAAAGCUGCACUCGGUCUGUAGAAGAUGACCUUCCCUGAUAGAGGACCUGUUCUUUGUUCAAGAGUAUAUAAUUAGCUGCACUCCCCUGCUAGAACCUCCAAACAAGCUCUCAAGACUCAACAAACUAGUUUUCAAAGAACUUAAUCCACAAGAAAUCAAUGUUGAUCAGAUCAGUAAUACUUUCUUUCUCU
rnacentral:snRNA from 1 species